CUUUGUGUUUUUUUGUACUUUUUUUAAUUACUUUUUAUGACAUUUAUAAAACUAUAUAACAGACAUGGAACAUGAAUGAUAUAAAAUGUUUCUGAACACUAUAACUACUUUGAACAAGAGAACUAGGCUGUAAUAACGUGGACUAUUUUACAUGUAAAACAUGUUGCAUUACAUUCGUCUUGCGUUUUAAAAACAUUCGCAUAUGAAUGAUGUAAAUUGGGACGAAGGGCGCGUCUCGUUAUCCAUGACAUUGUUAAAUCUCCGGCUCUCAGCCACACACUGAACAGAGCAGACACAGAGAGAGGUGUGAGUGCAGCGGGAAAGCAACACCUCGAGCUUGCUUGACAGUACUGGUGACAUUUGGAAAGUCGCUAAGGUUUGUCCAAAAAGUCGCCAGAUUUGUCGCUAGCCCCCCCUUAACAAAAAAAAAAAGUCACUAAAGGGGUCUGAAAAGUCGCUAAGUUGCUGAAAAGUCGCUAAGGCUAACCCUAAGAACCACCGAAGGAAUAAUGAAUGAAGAAAAGCUGAAAUGCAGUGUGUUACUAGGCAACAACGUUCUCUUCCAUUAAAUGACGUAUUAGUAUGUCCCAGUACUCUCAUGCUCUCUUGCUACACACCCAAAGGUAUGUUUUUUUUUGUUUGUUUGUUUGUUUUUCUUACAAAAAAAAACGAGUACAUACUUUUUAAUGCAUAGUAUAAGUAGGUGAAUUGAGAGGCAGUUUGCCUAGUGCGUGUGGUAGACGACAUAACUCAAAAUAUUUGCUUGUAGUUUCAUAUCUAAGCAGUCCCUCCAGGAUUAUGCGGUCGUGGAAAUGAACACAAAAUCUAGGGAUGUCACGAGAGCAGAUACUUCUGUACCAAGUGGGUACCAACAUGCUUAAAACGUGAUGGUACUUGUUUUCCUGCAGUUUUGUAAGUACCGUUGGUAUUAAGGUUGCAGUUCCUCCGGACCUGAAGGGAGCAGCAAAUACGCAUAAGUGUAUUAGUCGGUCCACAAGUGGUGGUGAAGAAGAAGAAAGCCUACAAGCAUACGGGGGGGAAGACUACAGAAGAUUAGCUUAGCUUAACAAGUUUAGCUCCGUCCCGACUCGUUGAGAGGAAAGCUAGCAUUGGUUUCCGGUGUGCAACCGAUGCUAUUGUUCAUUUCAAACAAAGCAAGGAAACACCUGGAAUUUGGUGAAGCACCUAAAAGACGGUCUUAUAUUAUGUUUGUUGGAGGCAGUUGGCAUUGUUGCUGUGAAACCAGCUAACGUUAUGCUCCAUGUAAUGUUAGCGAUAGCCAGUUAUUUGUUAACGACGCUAACACAUUGCGACGUUAUAAACUACUUCCUAAUGGGCCGCCAUGCGUCGCCAUUCAGCCCGUGUCCUGUCAGCUAAAUGUAGCCUAAUGUCACUAAUUAUUCAAAUGUUCAUGCUUUUAAUAAAUCUUUUUGGCUUGCCACCAUAUCAGUGAAUUUAAACUAAUGCUUGCAUUCAGAGUAUAAGGGGUGCGUGUGUGUUUAGGGGGGCACCUUAGCACUUAUUAUUAGUUGUUGUCAGACAGUGUUUUAUAACUAAAAUAUCUCCCCGCCCUCUCUCUCUGUCUCUUUGCCAGCCGUGGUAUCGAGUAUCGUGUACUUUUUGUGGUAUCGGUACCGACUACUAGAUUUUUGGUAUCGUGACAUUCCUAACAAAAUCAAAGAAACUCCGCAAUAUUUGCUGGAGCUUUUUCAAAAUUACCGCAGAUUUUCCACAGAUUUGGGCCAUGUGACAUCAUCACAGCAUGCAUUUGGUCAAAGCCCUCUUUGCUUCACAUGCUUCGUACAGCUAAAAGGUCUCAUUUACCGACAAACAUCAAUGCGAAAGACCGUGCAAAACAAUUUUGUGCGAUUGCAAUUUCACCAAUUCAAGUAGUUUUCCUCAAAAUAGCACACAACUGAAAAAACAGCAAAAGCAAGCAAUUUUUGCACACAACAAUCACAAGAAACUCUGAGAAAUCCUGUACGGACCGUCUAAGCACUUGUAAAAUUUUUCAUUGCGAAAGUAAAACCAUAUUACAGGUUCAUUGUGUAUAAGUUGUGCUCAAAUCGGUGAAUUUGGGGAAAAAAUAAAAAUUAGAUUCUGUUGACCCAAUUAGUAAUAAUGAACAUAGUAUUCGGUUGUGUGCCUGUUACAGGGAUAAAGCUGCUUUUAUAAACAGUCACCUCUCUGCCACUCAACACUCACUUCUUUAUAAACUACUAGUGUUUGUCCAAGCUUCCUUCCAACCCUUCCAGAACGUACAGAACUGUGUUCAGCUGGUCUAGACAUGACUUUAUGUAUGCGAUUCUACACUGUUAUGUUUUUAAAAAGCAUGCAUGUUCAAGAUUGCUUAAAAACAUUUCAGUAGUGUUUGUACUGUCCACGUUAAAUGGAGGAGCUAUUUUUUAAACUGCUUUUGCCCUGGGUUUUAAGUAGCUCUCACCCUGUUUCGUUUGUGCUUGGUUAAAUGUCAGCUCAUGUUUGUUGUUUGUGUCUAGGCUCGUGAAGAGGAUACAGCAAUGUUUUUCUGAGGAUGGUGUGACCAAAUUGGCUGAGCUUUGCUGAUGGAACCAACAGCAAAUACAGAAAAAACAAGCGAAGACCAUAAGAAAUAGGAUCUCUUUCAUUUUAUGACAAAAAUAUACUCCCUAGAAAGACUGGAUUUAGUCUAUUUGAGCAAUUUAGAUUAGCAAUAUUUAGUGUGGUUAACUAGAAUCUUGAAAUGGUAUAUAAUUUUUAAAAUACAUUUUUCUCUUGACCUAUCAAACUGCACAAUCAGCACUGGUUUCUGUUCAGUAUUCCUGUUCAUGAAGUGACUACAGCUGUAAAUCUGUGCUUCCUCCAGCCUCGGUGUUAUGAUCGUGGACUGUGGUGCUGGGGGCUGUGAGCUGAGGUAGUAGUUUGUAUAGUUUGGGAUCACACCAGAUCUAGGAGAUAACUAUACAGUCUACUGUCUUUCUCACGGCUCCUGCGUCGCAUCAUGCCCUCCAUCAUGGAAGUAGAGAAAAUGUAAAUGGAGCGCUCCAAGUGAAACGUACAGCAUGGGACAUGUUCGGAUGUGGCUUGGGUGUGCUGAGGUAGUAAGUUGUGUUGUUGUGGGGGAUGGUAUUAUUUGCCCUUUUUUUUUUUUGGAGAUAACCAUACAUCUUACUGCCUUCCAUGCCAGAGUCCUGAACCACAGCAAUUAGUAUAAAUAAUUCCAUCCUGAACAAUUGAUGUAUUUUAUUAUAUGCAUUGCCUAUGAAUAUUUUAUCUGUUGUCUGUUCUUCAG
ensembl:lncRNA